rnacentral:rRNA from 1 species
GCGUGAGUGAAGAAGGCCUUAGGGUUGUAAAACUCUUUCGCCCGCGAAGAUGAUGACGGUAGCGGGAGAAGAAGCCCCGGCUAACUCCGUGCCAGCAGCCGCGGUAAUACGGAGGGGGCUAGCGUUGUUCGGAAUUACUGGGCGUAAAGCGCACGUAGGCGGCGCGUCAAGUCAGGGGUGAAAGGCCUGGGCUCAACCUAGGAACUGCCUUUGAGACUGACGUGCUUGAGUUCGGAAGAGGGUAGUGGAAUUCCCAGUGUAGAGGUGAAAUUCGU